GGUGGCUUACCCUUUAAUUUAAUUAAAUAAAAUUGCACUAGCAUGUGACAACACAUCCCCUUCAAAAAAAAGAGUAUGCAAUAACAAAUCCCCCUUCGUUUAAUUACCAAGAUAUAUUAUAUAUUGUUGGGAAUACUUGUCUCACAUGGGAAAUCUGUGAAAUGAAAGGGCUAUAAGUGAUUGAAUUGCAAUAUUAAAAUGGCUAGUCAUUUUGAUGUAUAAAGUA
rnacentral:misc_RNA from 1 species